ACAACGGUCCUUUUAAGGGCCACUCACGUUCUCUAUAAACAGCUG
rfam:Gasterosteus aculeatus cont1.013184, whole genome shotgun sequence.